GGGGGCCCGCAAGCGGUGGAGCAUGUGGUUCAAUUCGACGCAACGCGAAGAACCUUACCUAGGCUCGAAAUGCUUUGGACCAUCCCUGGAAACAGGGACUUUUCGCAAGAAACUGAAGUAUAGGUGCUGCAUGGCUGUCGUCAGCUCGUGUCGUGAGAUGUUGGGUUAAGUCCCGCAACGAGCGCAACCCUUGUCCUGUGUUGCUAUCAUUCAGUUGAGAACUCGCAGGAGACCGCCAGGGAUAACCUGGAGGAAGGUGGGGAUGACGUCAAGUCCUCAUGGCCUUUAUGUCUAGGGCUACACACGUGCUACAAUGGACGGUACAGAGGGUCGCCAACCCGCAAGGGGGAGCCAAUCCCAAAAAACCGCUCUCAGUUCGGAUUGCAGGCUGCAACCCGCCUGCAUGAAGCUGGAAUCGCUAGUAAUGGCGCAUCAGAAUGGCGCCGUGAAUACGUUCCCGGGCCUUGUACACACC
rnacentral:rRNA from 1 species